GACGAACGCUGGCGGCGUGCUUAACACAUGCAAGUCGAACGGAAAGGCCCUGCUUUUGUGGGGUGCUCGAGUGGCGAACGGGUGAGUAACACGUGAGUAACCUGCCCUUGACUUUGGGAUAACUUCAGGAAACUGGGGCUAAUACCGGAUAGGAGCUCCUGCUGCAUGGUGGGGGUUGGAAAGUUUCGGCGGUAGGGGAUGGACUGGCGGCUUAUCAGGUUGUUGGUGGGGUAGUGGCUUACCAAGGCUUUGACGGGUGGCCGGCCUGAGAGGGGGACCGGCCACAUUGGGACUGAGUUACGGCCCAGACUCCUACGGGAGGCAGCAGUGGGGAAUAUUGCACAAUGGGCGGGAGCCUGAUGCAGCAACGCCGCGUGCGGGAUGACGGCCUUCGGGUUGUAAACCGCUUUCGCCUGUGACGAAGCGUGAGUGACGGUAAUGGGUAAAGAAGCACCGGCUAACUACGUGCCAGCCGCCGCCGUAAGAC
rnacentral:rRNA from 1 species